rnacentral:rRNA from 1 species
GGCCUAACACAUGCAAGUCGGGCGGUAACAGGGAGAAGCUUGCUUCUCUGCUGACGAGCGGCGGACGGGUGAGUAAUGUAUGGGGAUCUGCCUGAUGGCGGGGGAUAACUACUGGAAACGGUAGCUAAUACCGCAUAAUGUCUUCGGACCAAAGCGGGGGACCUCCGGGCCUCGCGCCAUCAGAUGAACCCAUAUGGGAUUAGCUAGUAGGUAAGGUAACGGCUUACCUAGGCGACGAUCCCUAGCUGGUCUGAGAGGAUGAUCAGCCACACUGGGACUGAGACACGGCCCAGACUCCUACGGGAGGCAGCAGUGGGGAAUAUUGCACAAUGGGCGCAAGCCUGAUGCAGCCAUGCCGCGUGUAUGAAGAAGGCCUUCGGGUUGUAAAGUACUUUCAGUCGGGAGGAAGGUGUCAAGGUUAAUAACCUUGGCAAUUGACGUUACCGACAGAAGAAGCACCGGCUAACUCCGUGCCAGCAGCCGCGGUAAUACGGAGGGUGCAAGCGUUAAUCGGAAUUACUGGGCGUAAAGCGCACGCAGGCGGUUGAUUGAGUCAGAUGUGAAAUCCCCGGGCUUAACCCGGGAAUUGCAUCUGAUACUGGUCAGCUAGAGUCUUGUAGAGGGGGGUAGAAUUCCAUGUGUAGCGGUGAAAUGCGUAGAGAUGUGGAGGAAUACCGGUGGCGAAGGCGGCCCCCUGGACAAAGACUGACGCUCAGGUGCGAAAGCGUGGGGAGCAAACAGGAUUAGAUACCCCUGGUAGUCCACGCUGUAAACGAUGUCGACUUGGAGGUUGUGCCCUUGAGGCGUGGCUUCCGGAGCUAACGCGUUAAGUCGACCGCCUGGGGAGUACGGCCCGCAGGUUAAAACUCAAAUGAAUUGACGGGGGCCCGCACAAGCGGUGGAGCAUGUGGUUUAAUUCGAUGCAACGCGAAGAACCUUACCUACUCUCGACAUCCAGAAGAAUUUCCCAGAGAUGCUUUGGGUGCCCUUCCGGGACCUCUGAGACAGUGCUGCAUGCCUGUCAUCAGCUUCGUGUUGUGAAAUGUUGGGUUAAGUCCCGCAACGAGCGCAACCUUAUCCCUUUGUGCCAGCGCCUGGAUGCGCGGAACUCUCAAUGAACACUGGCCGGUGAAUAAAC